rnacentral:lncRNA from 10 species
CAGCGGCUGAGGCGGCUGCGGGAGCGGAGUGGUCGCCCAGCGCGCGGGGGGACGCGGGCUGCACUCCCGGGCAGGCGCUCUGCAAUGAGACAGUAAAUGCAUCCCCCGGUGCUGGGCUACCUGACUGCUAGCAGGGACUGAGGGAGGGCAUUUCUUGAAGAGUUACCCAGAUCCAGCUGCUUAUCUGCCCCUGGCCAUGGUUUAUGUUGUUGACUGAUUGCACCAGCUGCUGAGAGGUGGUUUUAUGUAGUAGAUGGAGUUUUGCCAU